CCUACGGGUGGCUGCAGUGGGGAAUAUUGGACAAUGGGCGCAAGCCUGAUCCAGCCAUGCCGCGUGAGUGAUGAAGGCCCUAGGGUUGUAAAGCUCUUUCGCCAGGGACGAUAAUGACGGUACCUGGAUAAGAAGCCCCGGCUAACUUCGUGCCAGCAGCCGCGGUAAUACGAAGGGGGCUAGCGUUGUUCGGAAUCACUGGGCGUAAAGCGCACGUAGGCGGAUUUUUAAGUCAGGGGUGAAAUCCCGAGGCUCAACCUCGGAACUGCCUUUGAUACUGGAAGUCUCGAGUCCGGGAGAGGUGAGUGGAACUGCGAGUGUAGAGGUGAAAUUCGUAGAUAUUCGCAAGAACACCAGUGGCGAAGGCGGCUCACUGGCCCGGUACUGACGCUGAGGUGCGAAAGCGUGGGGAGCAAACAGGAUUAGAUACCCGAGUAGUC
rnacentral:rRNA from 1 species